AAUAAUGGUGUCCUAGGCGUGGAGGAAUCACGCCAACACAUAUCGAAUUUGGCGGUUAAACUCUACUGCGGUGACGAUACUGUGGGGGGAGUCCUUCGGCAAAAUAGCUAGACGCCAGUUA
rnacentral:rRNA from 1 species